ensembl:rRNA 5S_rRNA 5S ribosomal RNA
CACAGCAGCCAUAUCACUCUGCAACUCACAAAGGGCAGCCCACUGAAGCUAAGCAGGUGUGAGCCUGGUCAGUACCUGGAUGGGAGACCUCCUGGGAAAAACUAAGGUUGCUGCUGGUG